AUUGAACGCUGGCGGCAGGCCUAACACAUGCAAGUCGAGCGAGCGGCGGACGGGUGAGUAAUGUAUGGGGACUGCCCGAUAGAGGGGGAUAACUACUGGAAACGGUAGCUAAUACCGCAUACUAUCGGAUAACCCAUAUGGGAUUAGCGAGUAGGUGAGGUAAUGGGUCACCUAGGCGACGAUCCCUAGCUGGGCUGAGAGGAUGAUCAGCCAGACUGGGAAUGGGACACGGCCCAGACUCCGACGGAGGCAGCAGUGGGAAAUAUGGCGCAAUGGGCGCAAUCCGGAUGCAGCCAUGCCGCGUGUAUGAAGAAGGCCCUGGGGUUGUAAAGUACUUUAAGUCGGGAGGCGUUACCGACAGAAGAAGCACCGGCUAACUCCGUGCCAGCAGCCGCGGUAAUUC
rnacentral:rRNA from 1 species